GCCUAACACAUGCAAGUCGAACGCUCUCUUCGGAGAGAGUGGCGCACGGGUGAGUAACGCGUGGAUAAUCUGCCUUCGGGUUUGGGACAACUCCGGGAAACUGGAGCUAAUACCGAAUGAGACCACAGAGCCCUCGGGCUCAGCGGUCAAAGAUGGCCUCUUCUUGAAAGCUAUCGCCCGAAGAUGAGUCCGCGUCCCAUUAGCUUGUUGGUGAGGUAACGGCUCACCAAUGCACCGAUGGGUAGCUGGUCUGA
rnacentral:rRNA from 1 species